GCCUGGGUGACGGCGGGACAGAGACGUGCUCGCAGGACAGCAGGGGCGCUGGCCAACCCUCGCCCCCGCCCCCGGACCGGCUUUGCACACGCUGCUGUGGCCCGCUGGCGCGCUCCCGCGCGGUCCUCCUGGGCUCCACUCUGUCCUCGCCCGCAGGCCGGGCCUCACCUGGAAACCGUGCCGAUGGGCAGGCCCGCUGCCAGCAGGCGAUUCGCGGAGUGGACCUCAAUUUGGAAACGUGAACUUCAUCACUAAUGUGAGCUGGGUUCGUAGGCACCACCCAGACCACGUAAAAUGACGACAAAGAGGCUUCGAGUGUGUGGAAAGUAAACCCCACCUCCCCGGUUACCGUAGAAACGUGUUUGCAAGUUCAGCCCUCUGCCUCCAGGAUGCACGGCUGCAGUGUUCUUAAAGGGCCGGUCUGUGUGGCCUGUCCGUGGCCCGGCACAUGUGUCUCGUGCACAGAGGAAUUUAGUAAAAAUUCUCUGGCUGCUUCGUGAAUGUAAGCUUAAAUGCCUGCACUCAGGGACAGGAAACCAGCUGAGCACUUCCCUCGCCCGGCAAAGGAGAGUCCGAGCUUAGGAACCAGAGUCCACAGCGGGGGCUGCCGUCCUGG